rnacentral:rRNA from 1 species
UACGGGGGGGGCAAGCGUUGUUCGGAAUUACUGGGCGUAAAGAGCGUGUAGGCGGCCAGGUAGGUCGGUUGUGAAAACUGGAGGCUCAACCUUCAGAGGUCGACCGAAACCAUCUGGCUAGAGUCCGGGAGAGGAGAGUGGAAUUCCUGGUGUAGCGGUGAAAUGCGCAGAUAUCAGGAAGAACACCCGUGGCGAAAGCGGCUCUCUGGAACGGUACUGACGCUGAGGAGCGAAAGCGUGGGGAGCGAACAGG